GGCCCCGUAGCUCAACUGGAUAGAGCGCCGGCCUUCUAAGCCGAUGGUUGCAGGUUCAAGUCCUGCCGGGGUCGCCA
rnacentral:tRNA from 1 species